UACGUAGGGGGCAAGCGUUGUCCGGAAUUAUUGGGCGUAAAGAGCGUGUAGGCGGCCAGAUAAGUCCGCUGUGAAAUCUCGAGGCUCAACUUCGAGCUGUCGGUGGAAACUAUCUGGCUAGAGUCCGGAAGAGGAGAAUGGAAUUCCUGGUGUAGCGGUGAAAUGCGCAGAUAUCAGGAAGAACACCUAUGGCGAAGGCAGCACUCUGGGACGGUACUGACGCUGAGACGCGAAAGCGUGGGGAGCGAACAGG
rnacentral:rRNA from 1 species